GACGAACGCUAGCGGUGUGCUUAACACAUGCAAGUCGAACGGAAAGGCCCUGCUUUUGUGGGGUGCUCGAGUGGCGAACGGGUGAGUAACACGUGAGUAACCUGCCCUUGACUUUGGGAUAACUUCAGGAAACUGGGGCUAAUACCGGAUAGGAGCUCCUGCUGCAUGGUGGGGGUUGGAAAGUUUCGGCGGUUGGGGAUGGACUCGCGGCUUAUCAGCUUGUUGGUGGGGUAGUGGCUUACCAAGGCUUUGACGGGUAGCCGGCCUGAGAGGGUGACCGGCCACAUUGGGACUGAGAUACGGCCCAGACUCCUACGGGAGGCAGCAGUGGGGAAUAUUGCACAAUGGGCGGAAGCCUGAGGCAGCAACGCCGCGUGCGGGAUGACGGCCUUCGGGUUGUAAACCGCUUUCGCCUGUGACGAAGCGGGAGUGACGGUAAUGGGUAAAGAAGCACCGGCUAACUACGUG
rnacentral:rRNA from 1 species